rnacentral:rRNA from 1 species
UACGGGGGGGGCAAGCGUUGUUCGGAAUUACUGGGCGUAAAGGGCUCGUAGGUGGCCAACUAAGUCAGACGUGAAAUCCCUCGGCUUAACCGGGGAACUGCGUCUGAUACUGGAUGGCUAGAGUUUGGGAGAGGGAUGCGGAAUUCCAGGUGUAGCGGUGAAAUGCGCAGAUAUCAGGAGGAACACCGGUGGCGAAGGCGGGUCUCUGGGCCGAUACUGACGCUGAGGAGCGAAAGCGUGGGGAGCGAACAGG